AACUGAUACCAUAAACUCAGCAGGAAACUGUUUAUUAAGCUCAGUGACUGGCUGAACGGGACGCUCAACUUCUCAUACACUUCUUUUAUAACCAAAGUCAUCGCCCCCUGCUGGAGAUUAGAAAGAAUGCAGCUGUAAUCUGAUUGGCCGCACCAUUAAAAAUUAAACCCGGAAGAAGAAAGCAGCUCAAACAUCCAGACGUAGGACCGGUGAUGGACUGGUGCUGUGAGCUCCAGGCACAGUAGAAACGUGUGGAACCAGAGCCACCCACACAACUGUUACAGCAGAAAAAAUACUUUUACAGCCCAGAUGCCUGAGCGAAUUGCAUAUUCUCUUGUUAUCAUGAUGAUUUAGUUCCAGUUUAAACGCACUUUUAGUCUUGUACUAAAUUCUGAUAUAUGAGUUUUGUGGUUUGCCUUCAUUAUGAUUUAUUACCUGAGGUUAUGUGCGUUACCUUUGUGAGUCUGUCGUGUUUUCGGUGUGUCGUAUAGCUACAUGUCUCUCUCGCCCCUCUGUGUCUUAGGUCUGCAUCUUUGUUUCCUGUUUUAUUUUGACAGUCUCGUGAUCCAUGUUCAGUGUGUUUAGUUUUGCUUCCCCUGUGGCGUCAUGUUCAUCUGUAUCAGCUGUGUUUCUACUCCCCUCGUCUCCUCUCUGUGUAUUUAGUGUGUGAGCUUUCUGUUAUUUUCAAGGUUUCCAUGCAUCCAGGCCAAGUUUCACGUUUAGGGUUUUUUCAUGUUUUUCCGGUUUAGGUUAUUGUUUGUCUUAUCUUGGUUCAUGUUUCCCCUUUGUUUUGUAGUUUUCUACCAGCCACAGUAAACGGCUCGCUUGUUGUUA